UACGGGGGGGGCAAGCGUUGUUCGGAAUUACUGGGCGUAAAGGGCGCGUAGGCGGCCUGCUAAGUCGGACGUGAAAUCCCUCGGCUCAACCGGGGAACUGCGUCCGAUACUGGAUGGCUUGAAUCCGGGAGAGGGAUGCAGAAUUCCGGGUGUAGCGGUGAAAUGCGUAGAUAUCUGGAGGAAUACCGGUGGCGAAGGCGGCAUCCUGGACCGGCAUUGACGCUGAUGAGCGAAAGCCAGGGGAGCAAACGGG
rnacentral:rRNA from 1 species